CCUACGGGAGGCAGCAGUGGGGAAUAUUGCACAAUGGGCGCAAGCCUGAUGCAGCCAUGCCGCGUGUAUGAAGAAGGCCUUCGGGUUGUAAAGUACUUUCAGCGGGGAGGAAGGGAGUAAAGUUAAUACCUUUGCUCAUUGACGUUACCCGCAGAAGAAGCACCGGCUAACUCCGUGCCAGCAGCCGCGGUAAUACGGAUGGUGCAAGCGUUAAUCGGAAUUACUGGGCGUAAAGCGCACGCAGGCGGUUUGUUAAGUCAGAUGUGAAAUCCCCGGGCUCAACCUGGGAACUGCAUCUGAUACUGGCAAGCUUGAGUCUCGUAGAGGGGGGUAGAAUUCCAGGUGUAGCGGUGAAAUGCGUAGAGAUCUGGAGGAAUACCGGUGGCGAAGGCGGCCCCCUGGACGAAGACUGACGCUCAGGUGCGAAAGCGUGGGGAGCAAACAGGAUUAGAUACCCUGGUAGUCCACGCCGUAAACGAUGUCGACUUGGAGGUUGUGCCCUUGAGGCGUGGCUUCCGGAGCUAACGCGUUAAGUCGACCGCCUGGGGAGUACGGCCGCAAGGUUAAAACUCAAAUGAAUUGACGG
rnacentral:rRNA from 1 species